ACAGACAGAUGAAUAUGUUGCCAUGAUCAGUGACAUCCUCAACAUUGGCAAGAAUGUGUGCUUGUGCCGCCACUUCCACCUUAUGGACAAGGCAGCUAUUUGAAGAAAGAUAGACCAAAGCAGUAUAUUGAUGUAUGGCCUAUAGACUUCUUCUGCCCUGAUGAGUCGAACAUAUUUGGCACAACUUCCCUUUUCCUGAUGCAGCUUGCGACUAUUCUAAAUAUGGUAUCAACGUGGAGGAAAAGGACAAUGCUGCGGGUGUUCCUCUGUGUGUCAUCACGUGAUGCAGAUCCUGAAGCACAGCAGAAGCAAGUGAAGUCCAUGUGCAGAAUUUGCGUACAAAAUGCAACAA